rnacentral:rRNA from 1 species
CGGGGGGGGGGGCUUAAUACAUGCAAGUCGAACGAGUUCUGAUUAUUGAAAGGUGCUUGCAUCUUGAUUUAAUUUUGAACGAGUGGCGGACGGGUGAGUAACACGUGGGUAACCUGCCCUUAAGUGGGGGAUAACAUUUGGAAACAGAUGCUAAUACCGCAUAAAUCCAAGAACCGCAUGGUUCUUGGCUGAAAGAUGGCGUAAGCUAUCGCUUUUGGAUGGACCCGCGGCGUAUUAGCUAGUUGGUGAGGUAACGGCUCACCAAGGCAAUGAUACGUAGCCGAACUGAGAGGUUGAUCGGCCACAUUGGGACUGAGACACGGCCCAAACUCCUACGGGAGGCAGCAGUAGGGAAUCUUCCACAAUGGACGCAAGUCUGAUGGAGCAACGCCGCGUGAGUGAAGAAGGCUUUCGGGUCGUAAAACUCUGUUGUUGGAGAAGAAUGGUCGGCAGAGUAACUGUUGUCGGCGUGACGGUAUCCAACCAGAAAGCCACGGCUAACUACGUGCCAGCAGCCGCGGUAAUACGUAGGUGGCAAGCGUUAUCCGGAUUUAUUGGGCGUAAAGCGAGCGCAGGCGGUUUUUUAAGUCUGAUGUGAAAGCCCUCGGCUUAACCGAGGAAGUGCAUCGGAAACUGGGAAACUUGAGUGCAGAAGAGGACAGUGGAACUCCAUGUGUAGCGGUGAAAUGCGUAGAUAUAUGGAAGAACACCAGUGGCGAAGGCGGCUGUCUGGUCUGUAACUGACGCUGAGGCUCGAAAGCAUGGGUAGCGAACAGGAUUAGAUACCCUGGUAGUCCAUGCCGUAAACGAUGAAUGCUAGGUGUUGGAGGGUUUCCGCCCUUCAGUGCCGCAGCUAACGCAUUAAGCAUUCCGCCUGGGGAGUACGACCGCAAGGUUGAAACUCAAAGGAAUUGACGGGGGCCCGCACAAGCGGUGGAGCAUGUGGUUUAAUUCGAAGCAACGCGAAGAACCUUACCAGGUCUUGACAUCUUUUGAUCACCUGAGAGAUCAGGUUUCCCCUUCGGGGGCAAAAUGACAGGUGGUGCAUGGUUGUCGUCAGCUCGUGUCGUGAGAUGUUGGGUUAAGUCCCGCAACGAGCGCAACCCUUAUGACUAGUUGCCAGCAUUUAGUUGGGCACUCUAGUAAGACUGCCGGUGACAAACCGGAGGAAGGUGGGGAUGACGUCAAAUCAUCAUGCCCCUUAUGACCUGGGCUACACACGUGCUACAAUGGAUGGUACAACGAGUUGCGAGACCGCGAGGUCAAGCUAAUCUCUUAAAGCCAUUCUCAGUUCGGACUGUAGGCUGCAACUCGCCUACACGAAGUCGGAAUCGCUAGUAAUCGCGGAUCAGCACGCCGCGGUGAAUACGUUCCCGGGCCUUGUACACACCGCCCGUCACACCAUGAGAGUUUGUAACACCCGAAGCCGGUGGCUGUAACCUUUUUUUUGGGAUCGGUACCCCCCUUUUUUA